GGAAGAGGAAUGUCUCCUCAUCUCAAAUUCUAUCAACUGCAGAAGUAAGACAUCUGUAAUCCAUGGAUCCCACAAGAUGUGUGGAUUUCAGGGAUCUGCCACAGGCCCAUGUGGGAGAGAAUCUGAAGACGCUCAGACAGUUCCUCCACCCUGCCACCUCCAGAAAUAGACUGCAAAUCUCAGAGAAUUCCUCCUUUCAGAGGGUGCAGAUUCCUCUCUGUGCAUGGACCCAGAGAGGAACAUGGCGCUUUGAGGAGGAUUUUUGAGGAGCGUGUUUCAAAGAUUUCCCGUUGCCAACCAUCAAUGAGAAUAAAGCCUGCAACCCUUUUUAUCUUCAUUCUGCUGCUGUUUCCAUCUUUUUUUCUUUUUUCUUUUUUUCCUCCUCCUAAAGAUCAUUUGCCAGCAUCGCUUUCUCAGUUUUAC